GGGUGAACGCUGGCGGCGUGCCUAAUACAUGCAAGUCGAGCGAACAGACGAGGAGCUUGCUCCUCUGACGUUAGCGGCGGACGGGUGAGUAACACGUGGAUAACCUACCUAUAAGACUGGGAUAACUUCGGGAAACCGGAGCUAAUACCGGAUAAUAUAUUGAACCGCAUGGUUCAAUAGUGAAAGACGGUUUUGCUGUCACUUAUAGAUGGAUCCGCGCCGCAUUAGCUAGUUGGUAAGGUAACGGCUUACCAAGGCGACGAUGCGUAGCCGACCUGAGAGGGUGAUCGGCCACACUGGAACUGAGACACGGUCCAGACUCCUACGGGAGGCAGCAGUAGGGAAUCUUCCGCAAUGGGCGAAAGCCUGACGGAGCAACGCCGCGUGAGUGAUGAAGGUCUUCGGAUCGUAAAACUCUGUUAUUAGGGAAGAACAAAUGUGUAAGUAACUAUGCACGUCUUGACGGUACCUAAUCAGAAAGCCACGGCUAACUACGUG
rnacentral:rRNA from 1 species